GACGAACUCUGGCGGCGUGCUUAACACAUGCAAGUCGAACGGAAAGGCCCUGCUUUUGUGGGGUGCUCGAGUGGCGAACGGGUGAGUAACACGUGAGUAACCUGCCCUUGACUUUGGGAUAACUUCAGGAAACUGGGGCUAAUACCGGAUAGGAGCUCCUGCUGCAUGGUGGGGGUUGGAAAGUUUCGGCGGUUGGGGAUGGACUCGCGGCUUAUCAGCUUGUUGGUGGGGUAGUGGCUUACCAAGGCUUUGACGGGUAGCCGGCCUGAGAGGGUGACCGGCCACAUUGGGACUGAGAUACGGCCCAGACUCCUACGGGAGGCAGCAGUGGGGAAUAUUGCACAAUGGGCGGAAGCCUGAUGCAGCAACGCCGCGUGCGGGAUGACGGCCUUCGGGUUGUGAACCGCUUUCGCCUGUGACGAAGCGUGAGUGACGGUAAUGGGUAAAGAAGCACCGGCUAACUACGUG
rnacentral:rRNA from 1 species